GUUUUGGUGUGGUCCAGGAGGCCCAGAGAUGUGUUGUGUGGUCCAGGAGGCCCAGAGAUGUGUUGUGUGGUCCAGGAGGCCCAGAGAUGUGUUGUGUGGUCCAGGAGGCCCAGAGAUGUGUUGUGUGGUCCAGGAGGCCCAGAGAUGUGUUGGUGGGGUCCAUGAGGCCCAGAGAUGUGUUGUGUGGUCCAGGAGGCCCAGAGAUGUGUUGGUGUGGUCCAGGAGGCCCAGAGAUGUGUUGGUGUGGUCCAGGAGGCCCAGAGAUGUGUUGGUGGGGUCCAGGAGGCCCAGAGAUGUGUUGGUGUGGUCCAGGAGGCCCAGAGAUGCGUUGGUGUGGUCCAGGAGGCCCAGAGAUGCGUUGGUGGGGUCCAGGAGGCCCAGGGAUGUGUUGGUGUUCAUGCACGCCUGUCUUAUUGUUACUGUCUGCUGUCACGCACCAACCGCCAAGACAAAUUCCUUGUAUGUUUGACAUAUUUUGGCAAUAAAUGUUUCCUGAUUCCUGAUGACGGACCCUGUAGGACGUGGAUGAGCCCUUCACUAGACUCUCAAGACACUUCUCCAACGCCUUCUGCACGUCUCUGUGAGGCGAUGAUGAGACGGGCCCCCUCAGGUUCUGGUGCUCUCUCGAAGAAAGAACACUUGUAUUAUUGUGUCAAAGAAUUACAACACUUGUUUAGAAGCUAAUCCUCUUUUUCUCUGGGACCAGCGAGCUACUGUCGACUUGUUGUCUGUUGUUAAACUCUUUCACAGAAACAAUACUUUACCUGAAGCCACAAUAUUGAAGGACAUGACAGGAACAUUCACGUUGUCUAGAAAAACCCUUCACAGACAGAGCAACAAUGGUCCUCCUCAUGAAGCUCUGCGGUCACACUGAGAUAGCGGAUGAUGAGCGCUCUGCUUCCACUCCAGACUCUUUGACAUGUUGGCAGACAGCAGCCCCCACAGGUCAUUUGAGGUCAACGCCAAGCUGGGCUGACCCACUAUCUUGCUCCUUCUCCUCUCGUUGUCUCCUGGUGUUCCUCCUCAGCUCGUCGCUCUGUCCAUCACGUGUCGUCAAGCCUUCUAUCUGCCGUGUUUGAUGAGUAACGUCUCUGCUUCUCCCUCUGUGAAACCACGUGCAUCCUGGGUAACGGGUUUCCCGGUGGUUCAGUGUGACCUUGCUCAUCUCCAUGGUUACUGCACGCAGAAGUUAUUGUGCUGACUUAUCACAGCUUUUCUUUUGGUAGUCAGCUGGUAAGUGUGUUCAGUAAUCACACAACUGAUCCGAGGCAGCUCCAGAGAGAACAUUCUCCAAGUGACCCGAACCCGUCCGGCCUCCGUGGGCCUCUGUUAGACGGGUAAACAACACGAGGACCUGUGCAUGAAGCAUGGAGCAUGAAGAAUACACUAAAUAAAGGCCAUGAAGUUGUGUAAGACAGACUCGUACAUGUGCACAGUAAAUAAUGUGGAUUCCGAAGCAAAGGUUAAAGACUCAGCAUUAAACAUUCCUUUAGUUUGUGUGCUGAUUCACACAAAUGUUGAAAUGAAUAACUAAACUUGCCUCCACCAUAAAACCAUCAUCUAUCAACCCUGAAGUAGUGGCAGAAAUCAUAGACAACUCUUCAAAUUGGAUGCGGGAGAAUAUGUCCUGGCAUUGGGCCUGUGGAGACAGAGUCAAUGGCAAAAGCGGUCUCAGAUGCCAGAGGCCGCUAUAUAAAACCACUUACCGAGUCUUCCAUUGAAACCUGGACCCUGUCGCUACCGGAAGAGGAAAACGCAUCCAGCACCGUACCAGUCCCUGACGCCCGCCCGGACCUUGGUGCCCGACCUGGGCUAAGCCAUCACCUCCGGUCGGGCCCUCCCUCCAGCACCAGAUCCAGAUCCCAAUCCCAUCCCUAGCCCCGCCUUGGACCCUUAUCCUAAACUCCCUUUAGCCCUAAACCUAACCCCCCUCUAGUACCCCUCUCCAGAUUGGAGAUCUGGAUCCUAACUGAGCUGUGGGUCUACUAACCCUCUAAGUCCCAGAGGCAGUCAGAGACCAAACCUGUCAAAAAGAAGAAAACUAUCUAUCUAUAAAAAAGAUCCCUCUAGCUUGACUUGACCCCCCCGCUGGAAGCCACCUCACCUCCACUCCACGCCGGAUUGAGAACCUGAAAGACAAAAAAACAUAAGGGACCUCAAAACCUUUUCAACAAACGAGGUGAUGGGGACAGCCUCGAUAUAGGCUUGUUAAUAAAGGUUUUAAUAUCCUCUUAUGAGAAUAACCUUUGAAGAGAAUUUGUUAUGGUUGGUUUUAAAGGUUUUUAACCAAAAUUCUAAACCCAACAUUUUAUUAGAACAUUAGCCCCCUCGUGGCCCUCUCCGGAGGACCUUACCUCGCCUCACCCUCAGGUGGAAGAGGAGGUGCAGGGGGGCGGUUCCCUCAGGUGAAGAGGAAUAUUUCUCUGACAAGGAGAAUCACACCAGUGUGAAGAGCGACUGACACAAAGUCUUUGUGCUCGCAGUGUUUUUACAUAAACUUCUAAAAUUCUCUCUGUCUUUGUGACUGUCCCUCUGUCUCUCUGUCUUUGUGACUGUCUCUCUGUCUUUGUGACUGUCCCUCUGCCUUUGUGAGUGUCCCUCUGUCUCUCUGUCUUUGUGACUGUCCCUCUGUCUCUCUGUCUUUGUGACUGUCCCUCUGUCUUUGUGACUGUCCCUCUGCCGCUGUCUUUCUGUCACUGACUCAGUGUCUUUUCUGUCUGUUAUUUGACAGACAGUGUUACCUUACAUUAGAACAGCGGCGAGCUGAGAUGUUGCACAUGAACAAGUGUCCACAGAGAGCGUCCUCACAGUGCGUCACAGGGGGCUGGUGGAUAGAAGCUGCAGGUGAAGGAGCUUCUCCUGCAGCCUGAGGUGGUUUCAUGUCCCGGUACCGAACCUUCCGAGACGUCAGCAGCUCAUGGUUUGAUGGGCUGCUGACUGAUUGAUUGACGGCUCAUAAAAGCGCCGUGUCUCCCUCCGGCACGCAAACACUUGAAAAUUGUGUUCGCCCCCCCACUCUGCUGUGAGAGCCACUUCCUGGAGGCUCCUUCCCAAGCUUCCUGUCUCGGAAAGUCAAGGGGUAUCUGAAAAACCCAUUUCAACCCACGCGGCCCGUGCAGCUGUUUCCUCUGAUGAUGGUGGAUGGUGUUGAUGUGUGUGUGUGUGUGUGGGGGGGGGGGGGGGCAGCUCGGUAAGUCUUGGGCAGACUACCAGACUCGGUGUGUAUCUGUGUGUUUUUCACAUCUGCUCCUCGUUGUCCUUGUUUUUUCUCUCUGCACGCCCCCCCCCCCCCCCCUUGUGUGAGGGAGGGAGAAUUGUCAGGCAAUUA
ensembl:lncRNA